rnacentral:lncRNA from 1 species
AGCCAACCAUGCUGCACUGCAGACUGUAUCCUCUGUGAGUAGCUCAAUGGAACAGAGGGAAGCUGUUUGAGGAGCAUGGUCUGAUCUCCUGCACAGAGUAAGGAACAUCAAAGUCCAGAAAUCAUCUAAUUUUCCUCCAUUCAGCCUUACAACCUGAUUUGGCUGAGAUAAAACUGGCAAUAGAUAACCUGCCAGUGUUACCAGGGCAACUCUUGAGGGAACAGAUCUUCUGCAAAAGCAAUGAAAUGGAGAGAUUAUGCCUCGUAGAAAGGGAGGAAUAACAAAAGACAGAAAUCUUUCAUAAAAAAUCACAAUAAAAU